CCCCGCCUUCCGGCUCCGGCAGCGACGCUCGCCUUUCGCUGCCGCCGCCGCCGCGCCACCGGUGUCAACCUCCUUCGGGAGACUCCAUUUGCUCUCAGCACGAGCUGGCCGCCGUGCAGGCAGGCGGAGAGCGAUGCCCGCAGUCGGNUGGCUGGCCGCGGCGGUGACACCCUGGUCGCCCGCGUCCAGGCAGAAUCCGGGCUCCCUCCGCGGGAGGAAAGACGUCCCGCGCUCCGGAGCUCGCGCGGCGGGGAGAGGCCCUGGCUAACAAGGCUUCCCUCUGACCUCUUAAUUUCAGGAGGUUUCAGAGGCUGCGUACGAGUACCUAUACAGCCCUCACAGGAACUUCUGUUGGCCCAUGGAGGAUCAUCUCUCACCAGGACUAUUGUAACAUCUUCACCGAGCUUUCCACCCUACAGCCUCUACCUUGGGUUCUGAUUUCUACCCAUGAAGUUUUUUGAUGCUUUCUUUAAUCACGAGGCAUUACCUCUUGCCCACCUUUCCCCUUUCCAAUAGCAAAUUACAUUAGGUGUAAGUUUGUGUUGAGUUAAAGUACAGAGUUUUCUGCUUGUCCACUUUCACCUCAUUUGCACCUCUUAUGUCCAGCUUGCCUUAACUUGCUACGAUUUUUCAUAAGCACUCCCCUAUGUAACCUAUAGCAAUCCUUGACUGGAAAAGAGCAUCCCUUAUUGUCCAUUGCCCUACUAAGACAACACAGUGAGGGAAUGAGUUUUCCCAUUGUUUUUUCCAGUAUGUCAAGUUUGCAAGUCCUAUAUUGCGUUUAUUUUCUUGCACAUAUCCCAAAAUACCGCAACCUCAGUCUUAGUGCUUUAGGGAAAAACCUUCUUUGUAAUGAUGGCAACUGUUAAGUGUUUAAGAGGACUGUUUUAGAGACCUUGUAGUGUAGCUUUGGUUCAACUUCUAACCUCCAGUAAGAUUGCAGUUCAUGAAAAGACUUCAAACUAAGAGGAAGGUAGGGUUAAUUGGAGCGUUCCCUGUUGUAAGAACUUUGUUUUAAAAUGAAAGUGAAGAGGUUGCUGUAGACCUUGUCAGAAAAUUGGUGGUUACUCUAGGUCUUCAGGGCAGAGGAGGGAUCUAAUGCUCCAUAUUGUAAUCUCUGUAUUCAAAUUUAAGUUGUUAAUUAUCUUGUUCCAGGAAUCACC
rnacentral:lncRNA from 1 species